rnacentral:rRNA from 1 species
UGCCGAAUCAACUAGCCCUGAAAAUGGAUGGCGCUUGAGCGAGGGACCUAUACCCAGCCGUUGCUGGCUUGUGCGUUGUCUAGCGCCUGGCCGCAACGAGUAGGAGGGUCGUGGCGGUUGCGUCGAAGGCUUUGGGCGUAGGCCCAGCUGGAGCUUCCGUCAGUGCAGAUCUCGGUGGUAGUAGCAAAUAUUUAAGUUCGAUCCUUGAAGACUGAAGUGGAGAAGGGUUCCACGUGAACAGUAGUUGAAUGUGGGUCAGUCGAUCCUAAGAUACUGGCUUAUGCCUUGUAUCAUUGAGAGGGAAAAGUUUCUUUUCUCUCGGAUAUCAAAAGGGAAUAGGGUUAAUAUUCCCUAACGCAGACACAGAGAUUGCGGCUCUUUGAGUCGCUUGCGCGGUAACGCAUUCGAACUUGGUUACGUCGCUCAGAGACCGAGCUAGAGUUCUCUUCUCUAGUUAAGGAACGGACUCCCUGGAAUCGGUUCAGCCGUAGAUAGGGACGUUGUUUCCGUAAAGCAUCGCGGUUUCUGUGAUGUCUCGUGUUCUCUGGACGGCCCUUGAAAAACCAAGGAAGGCUAUCAAUCUGUGCUGCAUCGUACCGAUAUCCGCAUCAGGUCUCCAAGGUGAACAGC